GAUGAACGCUGGCGGCGUGCCUAAUACAUGCAAGUCGAGCGAACGGACGAGAAGCUUGCUUCUCUGAUGUUAGCGGCGGACGGGUGAGUAACACGUGGAUAACCUACCUAUAAGACUGGGAUAACUUCGGGAAACCGGAGCUAAUACCGGCUAAUAUUUUGAACCGCAUGGUUCAAAAGUGAAAGACGCUCUUGCUGUCACUUAUAGAUGGAGCCGCGCUGCAUUAGCUAGUUGGUAAGGUAACGGCUUACCAAGGCAACGAUGCAUAGCCGACCUGAGAGGAUGAUCAGCCACACUGGAGCUGAGACACGGUCCAGACUCCUACGGGAGGCAGCAGUAGGGAAUCUUCCGCAAUGGGCGAAAGCCUGACGGAGCAACGCCGCGUGAGUGAUGAAGGUCUUCGGAUCGUAAAACUCUGUUAUUAGGGAAGAACAUAUGCGUAAGUAACUGUGCACAUCUUGACGGUACCUAAUCAGAAAGCCACGGCUAACUACGUG
rnacentral:rRNA from 1 species